rnacentral:snoRNA from 1 species
ACCUUCUUGUUUAAGCUCUGUUCUAAAAUUGCAAAACUAGUAUCAUUUCUUGGCAUUUGUAAUAAAGCUAUGAGAGAAAACACAAGAAGAAAGAACAACUCAACAACUGUACCAGAUAGGAGAAAAACUGAGUUGAACCUCUUUUUUGUUUGAUUUUAUUUUUGUUUUGAGACGGAGUCU